rfam:Fructobacillus sp. EFB-N1 FEFB_c000022, whole genome shotgun sequence.
UAACUAUCAAGAGCAGGGAAGUGAUACAGCACGGUGAACCUGCACCAACCGGCAUUCGCACGGUGGUAAUUCUGUAAGAUAGGCA